AGUUCGGAGGGUCUCUGCGUCUCUGGGGUUUCUAUCACUGCUCCUUCCAGCCCUCAAGCGGCUACUCCGAAGAAUGACGAAGGGCCCUACUUGCGUAGAUUCGUGGGAUGAUUUUACCAAGAAGGAAAAGGGGGAAAAGAAAUCACAAUUAUUGAGGGUCCAGCCUUGGUCAGAUUCCGUGUCAGACCCUUCCAACUUGACAUUAUUGACUCUUCACAACUCUUCAUUUUGUAGUCCAGGAAGCAGGCUCCGAGAGACUGCCUAGAAAAAACAGCACCCGGAUCUGAAUUCGAGGCCGUCCCACACCCAUCCCGGUACGGUUCCCAGCAGAACUGAGCUGGAGUGGCCCUGAUGCAAAUGAACUUAGAUCCCAGCUGCUUGUGAUGGAAGCCAAUCCCAGCUUUCCCAAGCUUACAGGUUUUUUCCAGAAGAAGCCAACUUGAUCUCCCGGAACACGAAUUCAGCAGGCUCUCAUCUCAGAACUGCCUCCAAUCCAUCCCAUACCCCUUCACACUUCAGUCCUUGGUAUUUUCUCCGAUCACACCUUCCACUCCUCCUUCAUAUUUGCAAGUCUCUCCCUGCAGAAUCUGCCCCGAGGAGCAAAGGACAUUUUUCCAUGGGGAACAGAAUUUUAGAAUUUCCCUUUGUACCCAUGAGGAACAAAGCUCUGGAAUUUUUACACAGAUUUCUAUUUCCCUGUGGAAGCACUGGAAAGGAAAUGUCAUUCUCACUUUGAAGAGGAAGAGGGAUGCAGCAAGGUAAUAAACGCUUUCUAAAUAA
rnacentral:lncRNA from 1 species